GCGAACGCUGGCGGCAGGCCUAACACAUGCAAGUCGAACGAACUCUUCGGAGUUAGUGGCGGACGGGUGAGUAACACGUGGGAACGUGCCUUUAGGUUCGGAAUAACUCAGGGAAACUUGAGCUAAUACCGGAUGUGCCCUUCGGGGGACAGAUUUAUCGCCUUUAGAGCGGCCCGCGUCUGAUUAGCUAGUUGGUGAGGUAAAGGCUCACCAAGGCGACGAUCAGUAGCUGGUAUGAGAGGAUGAUCAGCCACAUUGGGACUGAGACACGGCCCAAACUCCUACGGGAGGCAGCAGUGGGGAAUCUUGCGCAAUGGGCGAAAGCCUGACGCAGCCAUGCCGCGUGAAUGAUGAAGGUCUUAGGAUUGUAAAAUUCUUUCACCGGGGACGAUAAUGACGGUACCCGGAGAAGAAGCCCCGGCUAACUUCGUG
rnacentral:rRNA from 1 species